CAAGUUAAUACUGCAUAGGGUGCUUGAAAGAGUUAAAAGGGAAAGCGGUCAAAAUCCGCUACAGCCCCCGCUACUGUAGGUGAGGAUGAAAUCCAGAAAAGCCAUUGGGAAGACCGAGAAGGCUGGAGAGUAAGGCGAAUCACAAGUCAGGAGACCUGCCAUAUGCAUACAGACUGU
rnacentral:ncRNA from 2 species